rnacentral:rRNA from 1 species
GACAUGUGGGGCAAGCGUUGUUCGGAAUCACUGGGCAUAAAGGGUGCGUAGGCGGCUUGUUAAGUCAGAGGUGAAAGUUUUCGGCCCAACCGGAAAAUGGCCUUUGAUACUGGCGAGCUGGAGUGCGUGAGGGGUGACUGGAACGAGUGGUGUAGCGGUGAAAUGCGUAGAUAUCGGUAGGAACACCUGUGGCGAAGGCGGUCUCCUGGGGCAGACUUGACGCUGAGGCGCGAAAGCUGGGGGAGCGAACGGG